rnacentral:rRNA from 1 species
UACGGAGGGUGCGAGCGUUGUCCGGAAUCACUGGGCGUAAAGGGCGCGUAGGCGGCCUGAUAAGUAGGGGGUGAAAUCCUGCGGCUUAACCGCAGGGCUGCCUUCUAAACUGUCAGGCUCGAGCACAGUAGAGGCAGGUGGAAUUCCCGGUGUAGCGGUGGAAUGCGUAGAGAUCGGGAAGAACAUCAGUGGCGAAGGCGGCCUGAUGGGCUGUUGCUGACGCUGAGGCGCGACAGCGUGGGGAGCAAACAGG